GUGUAGAUGAGGCUGGGUCUAGUCAUGCUAUAGAUGGUGGUGUAGAUGAGGCUGGGUCUAGUCAUGCUAUAGAUGGUGGUGUAGAUGAGGCUGGGUCUAGUCAUGCUAUAGAUGGUGGUGUAGAUGAGGCUGGGUCUAGUCAUGCUAUAGAUGGUGGUGUAGAUGAGGCUGGGUCUAGUCAGGUUAUAGAUGGUGGUGUAGAUGAGGCUGGGUCUAGUCAGGUUAUAGAUGGUGGUGUAGAUGAGGCUGGGUCUAGUCAUGCUAUAGAUGGUGGUGUAGAUGAGGCUGGGUCUAGUCAGGUUAUAGAUGGUGGUGUAGAUGAGGCUGGGUCUAGUCAUGCUAUAGAUGGUGGUGUAGAUGAGGCUGGGUCUAGUCAUGCUAUAGAU